rnacentral:lncRNA from 10 species
GUUCAAACCACAUGCACUCCAACACCCCACCACAUGAGUCAUUAUUUCAAGCUUCCCUUAAGUGUAGUAAGCUUAGGUGCCAAAUAGCUCCUAGUCUUAUCAUGUAAGGCCAACAACCCCCAUCACACACACCUUUCCCAGGUAGGUGAGCAGCUGGGCUGGUGACAUUGGCACCAGGGCUGUGAGCAGGCAGUGCUGGCUAGAAGUUAUUGGGCCACAGGAAAACAUGGCCCCCAGCCAGGGUCAGGGAGCCAAGGUGGUAACAAUGUGAAGUGAGACUCCGAAGUGAAAAGUCAGCAAUGGAGAACAGAUGAGGCCAUGUGACUUCCUGUGAACAAUGAAUCAUGAGGAGGAUUGAUGAGUGUCACUUCUGGGCCAAAGCUUUAAGAACCUGCUCGUGGGUCUCCAUGUUCUCUGUUCUUCAUUUCUGCAAUCAUGGAAGCUUGUCUUGAGAUGAAGCGUCUGUCAUCUUUAUGUAUUCCUGAGUAUCUAUGAAGAUUACAGCAACCCUGAUGACUCAAGAUGGACAGGCAGUAUAAAGGAGAAAUAAGCCUUGUUGUUGUAAGCAGCAGAGAUUAUCAGGUUUUUAAUGUAGCAUAAUUACCUUACCCUGACAGAAAAUAUACAUAGAUAUUUGUGAGUAUUUGUAUGUAAAUGAAACUGUAUGUAUAUAUGUAUGUGUAUACAGAGAUACACAUAUAUAAAAUUCAUCAUCGGUAUGAAGGUAGGUUCAUACUCUAUCAUUCUUUUUUGACUUAAUAUUUCACUACAAAAAUUUUCCUAUCUUACCAAUUUUUGAAAAUAUGAUUUUAAUGGCUGUAUAUUAUUUCAUUUCAUGGACUAUUCCAUUUCAUGGCUGUAUAUCAUUCCAUUUCAUGGACUUACCAUAAUGUAUUUAUCUCCUUUGGGCAGACAUUCAGAUUGUUUCCAAGUUUGACCCAUGUACAUUUUCAGUAAACAUCUUUGAGGACAAAUAUUUGUCCACCGCUCUGACUCAGGAUAAAUUUCAUACUUACGAUAAAUACCAAGAAAUGAGAUGACUGUUAAUUCUAGAGCUGACUCUUUUCUCACCCUCUUGGCUUCUUAUAGCUUCCAUGAUUGCCUCAUCUCCAUGGGGCUCCUCUAUGUCAACAAGGUAAAAUAGUUCAGCUGCCAACCCACAGGUACAGAGGCACUGAAUCUCUGGCAGUUUUAAUAGAUGGGAUAAAAAUCCUAUCCAAAGACAAGGUUGAGAUUUUCUUCACUUAGGAAUUUUCAUUAAAAAACUAAGAGUAAAACAAAACAAUACUUACAAAAUGGAACUUUCUGCUGCAUAUAACUUCUAGCCAAAGAGUACCCUUCAGGGUUCCCAGUCCUGAGGUCUUUUACUCACCUCCUCCCCAACUGGGUUAGAUGUGAUAGUUGCCUGGUCCCUCCCAGAACCAGAUUUCUGGCAUUGUCUGCAGCCCACUCUCACAUAUGUGCCAAUCCUACCCUGUUGCUCUUCAGGAGCUCUGCAUGAACCUGAAAGUAGCACUUUCUCACUCUAUAACUGUUGGUUUCCUGUUCUGUCUUUCCACUAAGUUACACUGUGAUCUUCUUGAAGGCAGAGACUGUAUUUCACUUCCACAACCAUAAUGAUCAGCAUGGUACCCAGAACUUAUCUGACUUAGAUAAGUGUAUACAUGGAUGCAAGCAUGAACUAAUGUGUGGACUCAUACAUAUGUGAAUGCAUGAAUCAAUGACUAGUCAAAGGGAGAUAUGAGGAGUAUAUUUUUCCAUCUCCAGCAUCUAAAAGGGACUGUCUUCCCACUUUCAGGAUAGUUAAUUUUUACAUAUAAAUGAGCAGUUUAUUUGUAAGGUAUGGGUGUUUAUAAGAUUGGUGUUCAUAACUUGCAGAAUUCAUGUACCUUUGAGGAACAUUCUGAAAACCAAACAAGUAUUUCUUUUUUCUUCCCUUAGGAUUAAGUGGCACUUAUGAAAAGGAAAGAGAAAAUAAAGGAAAAUAAGAGAAUGAGGCAAGAUCUUUAUCACCAUGUCUUUCUGAAGUGAGAGACACAUUCCUUUAUUUAACUAGUCAGUGCCUUGAUACAAAGUGUGAGGAGCGUGUAGGGAAACAGGCUCUCUUAGUCAUCAUUGGUGGGAGUGUAAAUUGGUGCCAACAUUUUGGAGGUAAUUUUGGGAGUAUUUAUCAAAAUUCUAAAUGCAUAUACCAUCUGGCCAAGCAAUUCAACCCCUGGGGGUUUAUGUCCCAGAAUGCUUCCAUAAUGCAUAAAUAUGAAUGUAUAAGGAUGUUAGUUGCAGCACCAUCUCUAAUAAUCAAAAUUUGAAAAUAAUCCAGAUGCCCAUCAAAAGGGGAUUGGAUAAAUAAUGUUAAUCAAUAUAGUGGGAUCUAUCCAAUUUAAAUUAUUUAGUGAUAAAAGCUAAAUUGCACAUAACAUGAACCCACAUUCUAGAAAGAAGAUGUAAAUGCAUCAGGAUGUAAGACAAGAAGGAUAUAUUGCAAAUGUAGUGGUGGCUACCUGUGGGGAGUAGGGAUUGGGGUAGGAGUAGAAGAGACUUUUUUUUUUUUUUUUUGAGAUCAAGUCUCAUUCUGUCACCUAUGCUGGAGUGCAAUGGCACAAUCUUGGCUCACUGCAACCUCCGCCUCCAGGGAUCAAGUGAUUCUCCUACCUCAGCCUCCCUAGCAACUGGGAUUUUAGGUGCCUGCCACCAUGCCUGGCUAAUGUUUGUAUUUUUAGUAGAGAUGGGAUUUCGCCAUGUUGGCCAGGCUGGCCUCGAAUUCCUGACUUUAGGUGAUCCACCCACCUCGGCCUCCCAAAAUGCUGGAGUUACAGGCGUGAGCCACCACACAUGGCUGGAAG